rnacentral:rRNA from 1 species
CCUACGGGAGGCAGCAGUGAGGAAUAUUGGUCAAUGGGCGCGAGCCUGACCCAGCCCAGUAGCGUGAAGGAUGACUGCCCUAGGAGUUGUAAACUUCUUUUAUAAAGGAAUAUAGAGAAGCACGUUUGCCUUUUUGUAUGUACUUUAUGAAUAAGGAUCGGCUAACUUCGUGCCAGCGGCCGAGGUAAUACGCAGGAUCCGAGCGUUAUCCGGAUUGAUUGGGUUUAACGGAAGCGUAAAGGGGUUGUUAAGUCAGUUGUGAAAGUUUGCGGAUCAACAGUAAAAUUGCAAUUGAUACUGGCAGUCUUGAGUACUGUGGAGGUAGACGGAAUUCGUGGUGUAGCGGUGAAAUGCUUAGAUAUCACGAAGAACCCCGAUUGCGAAGGCAGCUUACUAAACAGCCACUGACAUUGAUGCUCGAAAGUGUGGGUAGCAAACAGGAGUAGAUACCCUAGUAGUC